CAAAGACAGUAAUGCAUUCGACGAUUGGCUUUCGUGGAGGCUGUGUCUUGGUUUUUCCUACUAAUCUUUAGUGUAGUGUUGGCGUCUCAAAAAGAUACAAAGAACAAGGCUGAGAUAAGUCGGGAGAUCCCUUAAUGGUUCCGAGCCAGACGACAAGGGACCCCACACAAAUCGAGCUGGCAAUUGCCUUGCAGCAAAGCCAUCAAUAAGAACAAGAACAACAAGAACAAGACAGUAAUGCUCUAAUACUUAAGUUAUAAUUAUGAAAUUUAAAAUUAUGAGAAAGAAAAUAAAGUAAAAUUUAGCACUUAAUACUUAUUCAAUUGUACAUCUGAUAAUACCUCGCAUAUACGUAUAUACUCAGUUCCCAAUUUCAAAUCAAAUCAGUGAUGGUGGCUAUAUAAACAAUUUUGCUAAAUUAAAUUUAAAAUCUGUGAUCAUUUCUACAUAUUAAUUCCAAAAAAAAAAAUCUAUAAAUUGCGACGAACCGAUAAAUCAAUACCUGAAGAAACCAAGCCAAAAAGAAAAGGGGCUACCUGAAAUUCUGAGUCUCUCCGACUGGUAGCAGGGUCCACCUGAUCUGAAUGGGGCUCCUUUGUUGGCAGCUAUACGUUUGGGUCAAAAGAGGCAGCAGCAGAUCGACCAGUUAGGAUGCUUCCAGAAUGUCUAGCAGGUAGUGGAAGGCAAUCGGUAUUAGGUGUAGCCGAUUGGGAGGACUGCAGGUUCCGGAGGUGAUGAUCCAAGCGACUUGAUGUGGUAACACGUGGAGUAGCAAGUGAGGUGGAAGCAGUAACAAUAAAAAUGCAGCAAAAGCAGAAGCAGAGGAUAAGCAGAAGGUACAGGAAGGCCUAAAAAUGGGGAACAUGAGGUUCGACAUGGCUGUCAAUUUUAUGGCAUUUUUGUGUGGAUCGGGUAUGUUAGGAGGGACCAUCUUAACGGUGUAUCAUAUCUAUGUAGUAUGUAUAUUCAUG